GAAAAACCUAACCUAUUUUUAUUUCCAGAACCUCUGCAUCUCUCUCUACACUUUCUCUCUCUGUCUAACCAUCGGCAAUGGGCAGCUAUGACCGGCAAACACCUUCACUGCCACUCUGGCAUCACUGAUCUACUGCUGCCAGGCUGACCAGAGAAUGAUCGAGUGAUACUUCCCUCCCCCAUACUUUCAUCUCUCUUAUACCCUUCACCCCUCCUCUACUUUACUUCUCUACUCCAUUGAUUCCACUAUAGGAGUUGAUCAUCGGAUGGAUGGCAUCGUCCUUCUCUUCCCCUUUCCAUCGCUUGCCACUGUUAAUAGAACCCAAUACCACCACCCACAACUACCAGGUGGAAAAAUCGACGAGAACCAUCACCAGCUCCGCCUUCUACCAGCACAACCACCAACCAACGGCAACAUCAACCCUGAAAACCCUCAUGUCGCGUCUCUUCUCCAGCCGCCAUCGACAUAGCUAGUCGAUGAAAUUUUGGCAUAAUGACCAACAAGCUGCGAUGCCAUCGAACACCACCUCCAACGCCCAUUUCGUCCCUUUCUACAACUAAGAAAUAACAGCAGUCGCUGCCUUCUCUCUAUGUCUAACCAAUUUUUGUUAGAAAUUUUGAAACUUCAUGAUUGAUUUUCAGAAUCUGUCUCAGGUGUCCUUAUGAGGUAAUACUGUGGGAUGUGAAGAGUCACCGGGAGUUUAUGGGAGGGGACGACCCAUUUCUUCCUUAGCUUAGUAUUUUCUUUUUCUCUCUGUUUUAUUAUAUAUUAGUCUGUAACAUUACUGUAUAAACUUUAUUGAUGUAAUGAUAAAAUUAUAAGGACU